rnacentral:rRNA from 1 species
CCUACGGGGUGCUGCAGUGGGGAAUAUUGCACAAUGGGCGCAAGCCUGAUGCAGCCAUGCCGCGUGUGUGAAGAAGGCCUUCGGGUUGUAAAGCACUUUCAGCGGGGAGGAAGGCGGUGAGGUUAAUAACCUCAUCGAUUGACGUUGCCCGCAGAAGAAGCACCGGCUAACUCCGUGCCAGCAGCCGCGGUAAUACGGAGGGUGCAAGCGUUAAUCGGAAUUACUGGGCGUAAAGCGCACGCAGGCGGUCUGUCAAGUCGGAUGUGAAAUCCCCGGGCUCAACCGGGGAACUGCAUUCGAAACGGGCAGGCUAGAGUCUUGUAGAGGGGGGUAGAAUUCCAGGUGGAGCGGUGAAAUGCGUAGAGAUCUGGAGGAAUACCGGUGGCGAAGGCGGCCCCCUGGACAAAGACUGACGCUCAGGUGCGAAAGCGUGGGGAGCAAACAGGAUUAGAUACCCGAGUAGUC